rnacentral:rRNA from 1 species
GACGAACGCUGGCGGCGUGCCUAAUACAUGCAAGUAGGACGCAGUUGCGAACGGGUGAGUAACGCGUAGGUAACUACCUAUUAGAGGGGGAUAACUAUUGGAAACGAUAGCUAAUACCGCAUACUAGUAGAUGGACCUGCGUUGUAUUAGCUAGUAGGUAGGGUAAUGGCCUACCUAGGCAACGAUACAUAGCCGACCCGAGAGGGUGAUCAGCCAACCUGGGACUGGGACACGGCCCAGACUCCUACGGGAGGCAGCAGUAGGGAAUCUUCGGAAAGGGGGCGAAAGCUGACCGAGCAACGGCGCGUGAGUGAAGAAGGUUUUCGGAUCGUAAAGCUCUGUUGUUAAGGAAGCGGUACUUAACCAGAAAGGGACGGCUAACUACGUGCCAGCAGCCGCGGUAAUUC